rnacentral:rRNA from 1 species
UACGAGGGGGCUAGCGUUGCUCGGAAUCACUGGGCGUAAAGCGCACGUAGGCGGAUUGUUAAGUCAGGGGUGAAAUCCUGGAGCUCAACUCCAGAACUGCCUUUGAUACUGAAGAUCUUGAGUUCGGGAGAGGUGAGUGGAACUGCGAGUGUAGAGGUGAAAUUCGUAGAUAUUCGCAAGAACACCAGUGGCGAAGGCGGCUCACUGGCCCGAUACUGACGCUGAGGCACGAAAGCGUGGGGAGCAAACAGGG